rnacentral:rRNA from 1 species
UACGUAGGGAGCGAGCGUUGUCCGGAUUUAUUGGGCGUAAAGGGCGUGUAGGCGGCUUGUUAAGUCUGAGGUGAAAAUCCAGGGCUCAACCCUGGAACUGCCUCGGAUACUGGCGAGCUUGAGUACUCUAGAGGGCAGUGGAAUUCCGGGUGUAGCAGUGAAAUGCGUAGAUAUCCGGAGGAACACCAGUGGCGAAGGCGACUGCCUGGGGAGUAACUGAC